CAUAUUCAAUUCCCCUAAACAACCCUCGUCUCCACACUACUCUCCCCUCCCCCGUUUGAAUCAGGGCCGCCCCUCCUUCCUCCGCCGUGAAUCCCUCCUCUUCGUUUGUCUAUUCUUUCUGCAGCUCCACACCAGCCUCUCCCUUCUCCCGCGGCGAUUACUCCGGCCCCAACUUGGCACCGUGGCCCCUCCUUCCUAUUUCCGCGUAGCAAUUUCUCCAUCUCUUCCGCCGCGAUUUGCGUCAUCGCCGCUGCCGCAAUCGCCAGAGAUCUGCUCCGAUCUGCCACCGUGGCCUCUUCUUCCUGUCUCUGCGUAGCAAUUUCUCCCUCUCUUCCGUCACGAUUCGUGUCACCGCCGCUGCCGCAAUCGCCAGAGAUCUGCUUCGAUCUGCCUCCCACUCCACCAAUUUCUUCAUUCUGCCUCCCGCCGCGAUUCGCUUCGCCGCGCCGGCCACCGCCCAGAUCGACACAGUCCGCCGCCUCGCCAUGUAGGUAUUGAGGGCUAGCGUCUAUCAAGUUCUUUAAGAAUGACAGCGGGCACUAGAAAAAUCCCCUGCUUUUAAGGUAAAAUCUUCUUCCCCCUGUCUGAGCUACAAGUAUUUGAUUUGGAAACCACGUCGUGUAGGUUAUGUUAUCUUGCUCGAGGAAGAAACGGAGAGUGCUCGGUUGUUCCCCUUGGCUGUUGCAAUACGAAGAGUUAGUUGGGAUAAGCUAAAGGCGAUGAGCUUCUCUCUAACUCAUUCCCAUAUAAGGAAGUCGAGAAUGGGAUGUUGUGAGAAGUAGAAGGAAAUUGGGUCGUUCAAGAGCAACCUCCUUUCGACAAAAAACAGUUCAUAGCAUACGUAAAGAAAUAUAUCAAGAACUUGAUCCCCAAGCUUCCUGAAGCCGAGAAACAAGAGCAGUUCAAGAAGGGUAUUGAAGGAGUUACAACCUUGGAAGUGAAGAAGGUUGCAACAGGAGAUACAGAGGAACAACCGAACUUAUUUGAGGCAACGAGUGCCGUUCUUUCUGCAGAACCAACCACCAGAUCAUAUUUGUAUAUAAAAUUGAGAUCUCGUAGGAUCAUUAGUGUAGUAGGUUUCUCAUUCGAAUUGGAUUUGUAUGUGUCUUGUCAGAUUACUAUGUGCCAUUAAUAAAUAUUUGUUAGUAUUCA